rnacentral:rRNA from 1 species
CUGGAGGUAUCAGAAGUGCGAAUGCUGACAUAAGUAACGAUAAAGCGGGUGAAAAGCCCGCUCGCCGGAAGACCAAGGGUUCCUGUCCAACGUUAAUCGGGGCAGGGUGAGUCGACCCCUAAGGCGAGGCCGAAAGGCGUAGUCGAUGGGAAACGGGUUAAUAUUCCCGUACUUGGUGUUACUGCGAAGGGGGGACGGAGAAGGCUAUGUUGGCCGGGCGACGGUUGUCCCGGUUUAAGCGUGUAGGCUGGUUUUCCAGGCAAAUCCGGAAAAUCAAGGCUGAGGCGUGACGACGAGGCACUACGGUGCUGAAGCAACAAAUGCCCUGCUUCCAGGAAAAGCCUCUAAGCAUCAGGUAACACGAAAUCGUACCCCAAACCGACACAGGUGGUCAGGUAGAGAAUACCAAGGCGCUUGAGAGAACUCGGGUGAAGGAACUAGGCAAAAUGGUGCCGUAACUUCGGGAGAAGGCACGCUGACA